UAGUUUUUUAAGGAAUCUCCUUACUGUUUUCUAUAACAGCUGCACUAAACUAUAUUCUCACUAACACUGUAGGAGGGUUCCCUUUUCUCCACACCCUCUCCAGCAUUUAUCGUUUGUGGACUUUUGAAUGAUGGCCAUUCUGACUGGUAUGGGGUGAUACGUCAUUGUAGUUUUGAUGUGAAU